AGCUACAUUUUUCUGUGUUUCAGGUUUAAGACUGUAUGUUUGAGGGAUGGUUUGUGGUUUAAAAUUCUAGCAAGGAUAAGAUAAAAGGUUAGGUUUUGAGGGCUUUGAGGAUGCUGAAAUAGUGGGAAAGAGUUUAGUAUCAGAAUCUAAUGUGCUGGCAAAUAGAAUAAGCAGGAAAUAGAUAGAAGGAGAUAACAGAGGCAGAUCACCAGAAAGAUAGAAGAGAUGCCGGCUAUCAAACCUUAUUUGGAAGCAAAUUUUGUUGGGAAAGUUUUAUUAUUCUCUGUUCUAAAUCAGUACAAUGUUCUCCUGACGCGUAUAAGACUUGGGACUCCAAAUCAGUAAAACAACAGAGGAGGUCUCAUAAUCUAUUUCUAAUAUGACUGGGAAUCAUUGACCAACACAAGCAUAAAACUGCAAGUAUGACGUUUAUUUUAAGUCCAUUUGACUCUAGAUCCUUGAUAAUGCUCAAACAAACUAAACCUGGAGAAUUAUAACGUAAACAAACAUGAAAAUAGACUCAGUUUUAACUGGAGAAGUACUAACAUUUCCGAAAUAAUCCCAGGAAUAGUUGUUAGAUCUUGUCUUCCUUCUUGUUGCCCCCAUCAUUCACUUAUGCUCAUGCCUGACCUGGACAUUCUUGAAUAAGAUGCCAAGAA
rnacentral:lncRNA from 1 species